GAUGAACGCUGGCGGCGUGCCUAAUACAUGCAAGUCGAGCGAACGGACGAGGAGCUUGCUCCUCUGAUGUUAGCGGCGGACGGGUGAGUAACACGUGGAUAACCUACCUAUAAGACUGGGAUAACUUCGGGAAACCGGAGCUAAUACCGGAUAAUAUUUUGAACCGCAUGGUUCAAUAGUGAAAGACGGUCUUGCUGUCACUUAUAGAUGGACCCGCGCUGCAUUAGCUAGUUGGUAAGGUAACGGCUUACCAAGGCAACGAUGCAUAGCCGACCUGAGAGGGUGAUCGGCCACACUGGAACUGAGACACGGUCCAGACUCCUACGGGAGGCAGCAGUAGGGAAUCUUCCGCAAUGGGCGAAAGCCUGACGGAGCAACGCCGCGUGAGUGAUGAAGGUCUUCGGAUCGUAAAACUCUGUUAUUAGGGAAGAACAAAUGUGUAAGUAACUGUGCACAUCUUGACGGUACCUAAUCAGAAAGCCACGGCUAACUACGUG
rnacentral:rRNA from 1 species